rnacentral:rRNA from 1 species
CAGCUCUCCGAGUGGUGUGGAUGUUUAUUGGGCCUAAAGCAUCCGUAGCUGGCUGGGCAAGUCCCCUGUUAAAUCCACCGAUUUAAUCGUUGGUGUGCGGGGGAUACUGCUCGGCUAGGGGACGGGAGAGGCAGACGGUAUUUCCGGGGUAGGGGUGAAAUCCUAUAAUCCCGGGAAGACCACCAGUGGCGAAGGCUGUCUGCUAGAACGCGCCCGACGGUGAGGGAUGAAAGCUGGGGGAGCGAACCGGAUUAGAUACCCGUGUAGUCC